rnacentral:rRNA from 1 species
CGAGUGGCGAACGGGUGAGUAAUACAUCGGAACGUGCCUAGUAGUGGGGGAUAACUACUCGAAAGAGUAGCUAAUACCGCAUGAGAUCUACGGAUGAAAGCAGGGGACCCUCGGGCCUUGUGCUACUAGAGCGGCUGAUGGCAGAUUAGGUAGUUGGUGGGAUAAAAGCUUACCAAGCCUGUGAUCUGUAGCUGGUCUGAGAGGACGACCAGCCACACUGGGACUGAGACACGGCCCAGACUCCUACGGGAGGCAGCAGUGGGGAAUUUUGGACAAUGGGCGAAAGCCUGAUCCAGCAAUGCCGCGUGCAGGAUGAAGGCCCUCGGGUUGUAAACUGCUUUUGUACGGAACGAAAAGCCUGAGGCUAAUAUCCUCGGGUCAUGACGGUACCGUAAGAAUAAGCACCGGCUAACUACGUGCCAGCAGCCGCGGUAAUACGUAGGGUGCAAGCGUUAAUCGGAAUUACUGGGCGUAAAGCGUGCGCAGGCGGUUUUGUAAGACAGUGGUGAAAUCCCCGGGCUCAACCUGGGAACUGCCAUUGUGACUGCAAGGCUGGAGUGCGGCAGAGGGGGAUGGAAUUCCGCGUGUAGCAGUGAAAUGCGUAGAUAUGCGGAGGAACACCGAUGGCGAA